rnacentral:rRNA from 1 species
GAGAACGCUGGCGGCGUGGAUUAGGCAUGCAAGUCGAACGGUAUCAUCCUUUCGGGGGUGAGAGAGUGGCGAACUGGUGAGUAACACGUAGGUUAUCUACCCUCAAGACGGGACAACCCAGGGAAACUUGGGCUAAUACCGGAUGUGAGCAACUUUUAGUUGUUUGAAAGGUGGCGUAAGCUGUCGCUUGGGGAUGAGCCUGCGUCCUAUUAGUUAGUUGGUGAGGUAACGGCUCACCUAGGCAAUGAUAGGUAGGCGGCCUUAACGGGUGGUCGCCCACACUGGGAUUGAGAUACGGCCCAGACUCCUACGGGAGGCAGCAGUCGAGAAUAGUCUACAAUGGUCGGAAGACUGAUAGUGCGACGCCGCGUGAACGAUGAAUCCCUUCGGGGUGUAAAGUUCUUUUAUAUGUGAGCAGUGCUUCUUAUAUUAACAGUAUGGGGAGAGAGAUAUUAGCAUAUGAAUAGGCAACGGCUAACUCCGUG